UACGUAGGGGGCAAGCGUUGUCCGGAUUCAUUGGGCGUAAAGAGCGUGUAGGCGGCCAGGUAGGUCGGUUGUGAAAACUGGAGGCUCAACCUUCAGAGGUCGACCCGAAACCAUCUGGCUAGAGUCCGGGAGAGGAGAGUGGAAUUCCUGGUGUAGCGGUGAAAUGCGCAGAUAUCAGGAAGAACACCCGUGGCGAAAGCGGCUCUCUGGAACGGUACUGACGCUGAGGAGCGAAAGCAUGGGGAGCGAACAGG
rnacentral:rRNA from 1 species